ACAGCAGUCGCCACGGUAAUACGAAGGGGGCUAGCGUUGUCCGGAAUCAUUGGGCGUAAAGCGCGCGUAGGUGGCCAUUUAAGUCCGCUGUGAAAGUCAAAGGCUCAACCUUUGAAAGCCGGUGGAUACUGGAUGGCUAGAGUACGGAAGAGGCGAGUGGAAUUCCUGGUGUAGCGGUGGAAUGCGCAGAUAUCAGGAGGAACACCAAUAGCGAAGGCAGCUCGCUGGGACGUUACUGACACUGAGGCGCGAAAGUGUGGGGAGCGAGCAGGAUUAGAUACCCGCGUAGUCCCUGUCUCUUAUAC
rnacentral:rRNA from 1 species